rnacentral:rRNA from 1 species
UGGGACGAGAAGACCCUAUAGAAUUUAAUAUAAUUUUUGAAUCUAUAUAAGGUAAAAUAAAUUUUAUUUAUAAGUUAUAUUUUAUUGGGAGGAUAAUUAAAUAAAAUGAACUUUAAUUUUAAUAUAAUUUAACAUUAACAUUGAUUAAUGAAAUUUUAAUAAAAGAUUAAUUAUUAAAUUAAAAAAAUAUUUUUUUAUUUUUUAUAAUAGUUAUUAUAAAAAUUAAUUACCUUAGGGAUAACAGCGUGAUAUUUUUAAAAAGAUCAUAUUAAUAAAAAUG